rnacentral:rRNA from 1 species
UACGUAGGUUGCAAGCGUUGUCCGGAUUUAUUGGGCUUAAAGGGUGCGUAGGUGGUCUAUUAAGUCAGUGCUGAAAUAUCCCGGCUUAACCGGGAGGGUGGCAUUGAUACUGAUGGACUUGAGUAAAGUUGAGGUGGGCGGAAUUGACGGUGUAGCGGUGAAAUGCUUAGAUAUCGUCAAGAACACCUAUUGCGAAGGCAGCUCACUAAGCUUUAACUGACACUGAGGCACGAAAGUGUGGGGAUCAAACAGG